GCCAGUAUGGUGAAGCGGUUUGCAUGUUGGACUACGAUUCUAGAGACCAGGGUUAGAUUCCCAGCUUGACC